UACGAAGGGUGCAAGCGUUAAUCGGAAUUACUGGGCGUAAAGCGUGCGCAGGCGGUUCGGAAAGAGAGGUGUGAAAUCCCCGGGCUUAACCUGGGAACUGCAUUGGUGACUGGCGGGCUAGAGUGUGGCAGAGGGGGGUAGAAUUCCACGUGUAGCAGUGAAAUGCGUAGAGAUGUGGAGGAAUACCGAUGGCGAAGGCAGCCCCCUGGGCUAACACUGACGCUCAUGCACGAAAGCGUGGGGAGCAAACAGG
rnacentral:rRNA from 1 species